rnacentral:rRNA from 1 species
GUUAUGGUUCCUUAUAUCGUACUAUCCUACUUGGAUAACUGUGGUAAUUCUAGAGCUAAUACAUGCAGCAGAACUCAGACCUUCGGGGACGAGUGCUUUUAUUAGACCAAGACCAAUCGGGCUUCGGCUCGACACCCAUGGCGACUCUGGAUAACUUUGGGCUGAUCGCACGAUCUUGUAUCGGCGACGUUUCUUUUUAAGUGUCUGCCUUAUCAACUGUCGAUGGUAGGUUAUGCGCCUACCAUGGUCGUAACGGGUGACGGGGAAUCAGGGUUCGAUUCCGGAGAGGGAGCCUGAGAAACGGCUACCACAUCCAAGGAAGGCAGCAGGCGCGCAAAUUACCCACUCCCGGCAAGGGGAGGUAGUGACGAAAAAUAACGAUGCGGGACUCUUUUGAGGCCCCGCAAUCGGAAUGAGUACACUCUAAAUCCUUUAACGAGGAUCCAUUGGAGGGGGAGUGGAGCCUGCGGCUUAAUUUGACUCAACACGGGAAAACUUACCCGGCCCGGACACCGGAAGGAUUGACAGAUUAAGAGCUCUUUCUUGAUUCGGUGGGUGGUGGUGCAUGGCCGUUCUUAGUUGGUGGAGCGAUUUGUCUGGUUAAUUCCGAUAACGAACGAGACUCUAGCCUACUUAAUAGAGAACCGAUCUCCUCUCGUCGGUUACUCUUCUUAGAGGGACAAGCGGCGUUUAGCCGCACGAGACAGAGCAAUAACAGGUCUGUGAUGCCCUUAGAUGUCCGGGGCCGCACGCGCGCUACACUGAAGGAAUCAGCGUGUGUUCACCCUGGCCGAAAGGUCUGGGUAACCCGUUGAACCUCCUUCGUGAUAGGGAUAGGGGCUUGUAACUGUUCCCCUUGAACGAGGAAUUCCCAGUAAGCGCGAGUCAUAAGCUCGCGUUGAUUACGUCCCUGCCCUUUGUACACACCGCCCGUCGCUACUACCGAUUGAAUGAUUUAGUGAGGUCUUCGGACUGGUGCUCGGAGCGGCCUCUCGGGUCGCGCCCGGCGUACCGGAAAAGAUGACCAAACUUGAAUCAUUUA